rnacentral:rRNA from 1 species
UACGUAGGGUGCGAGCGUUGUCCGGAAUUACUGGGCGUAAAGAGCUCGUAGGUGGUUUGUCGCGUUGUCCGUGAAAACUCACAGCUCAACUGUGGGCGUGCGGGCGAUACGGGCAGACUGGAGUACUGCAGGGGAGACUGGAAUUCCUGGUGUAGCGGUGGAAUGCGCAGAUAUCAGGAGGAACACCAAUGGCGAAGGCAGCUUGCUGGGACGGUACUGACGCUGAGGCGCGAAAGCGUGGGGAGCAAACAGG